GGGAUAUCUUCAACCGAUUUGAAUGACAGUGCAGUAAUAGGAUAGAUGAGUAGACAUCUAGGCCUAUUUUGCCGGUUGUGUCACUUUUUUAUAUUUACCUUCGCUUUUGAUUUCUUUUGUCGGAGAUAAUGUUGAACCGCAAUUUAUUUGCCUUAUUAUUAAUAAAGAUGCCGUAUGCAUCGUGCUGAUGCAGAGGCCGAAGGUAAUCC
rnacentral:lncRNA from 1 species